AUAGGGGAGCCGUAGGGAAACCGAGUCUUAACUGGGCGAAUGAGUUGCAGGGUAUAGACCCGAAACCCGGUGAUCUAUCCAUGGGCAGGUUGAAGGUUGGGUAACACUAACUGGAGGACCGAACCGACUAAUGUUGAAAAAUUAGCGGAUGACUUGUGGAUGGGGGUGAAAGGCCAAUCAAACCGGGAGAUAGCUGGUUCUCCCCGAAAGCUAUUUAGGUAGCGCCUCGUGAACUCAUCUUCGGGGGUAGAGCACUGUUUCGACUAGGGGGUCAUCCCGACUUACCAACUCGAUGCAAACUGCGAAUACCGAAGAAUGUUAUCACGGGAGACACACGGCGGGUGCUAACGUCCGUCGUGAAGAGGGAAACAACCCAGACCGCCAGCUAAGGUCCCAAAGUCAUGGUUAAGUGGGAAACGAAGUGGGAAGGCUCAGACAGCCAGGAUGUUGGCUUAGAAGCAGCCAUCAUUUAAAGAAAGCGUAAUAGCUCACUGGUCGAGUCGGCCCGCGCGGAAGAUGUAACGGGGCUAAACCAUGCACCGAAGCUGCGGCAGC
rnacentral:rRNA from 1 species